AUGAAUGGGUAUUUUUAUAAUGGCCCUGUUAUAUGUCCAGGGUCUGUAAUAAUGGUCGAGGAAGUCUGUAAUGGCCCGAGGCAACGCCGAGGGUCAUUACAGACAUCCGAGGCCAUUAUUACUGACCAAGGACAUAUAACAGGGCCAUUAUAAAAACACCCAUUUCUUAAUACAUUUAUUAACCAACUGAAAAAAAGUGUAUGUGUUGCUGCCAACUUGACGUACUCUCUUAUUCUUUUAAUGACAGUUUAGUUUGAAAAAAAAUAAUUUGUACUUCACCAUGAUCAAGCUUUAAAUAUACCAAAUAUCGAAGAUAUUAAGUUGAAAGAAGUUAUGUGUUGAAAAACAGGAUCCCUU
rnacentral:lncRNA from 1 species